GACGAACGCUGGCGGCGUGCUUAACACAUGCAAGUCGUACGGUAAGGCCCUUUCGGGGGUACACGAGUGGCGAACGGGUGAGUAACACGUGAGUAACCUGCCCACAACUUUGGGAUAACGCUAGGAAACUGGUGCUAAUACUGGAUAUGUGCUCCUGCUGCAUGGUGGGGGUUGGAAAGCUCCGGCGGUUGUGGAUGGACUCGCGGCCUAUCAGCUUGUUGUUGGGGUAGUGGCCUACCAAGGCGGCGACGGGUAGCCGGCCUGAGAGGGUGACCGGCCACAUUGGGACUGAGAUACGGCCCAGACUCCUACGGGAGGCAGCAGUGGGGAAUAUUGCACAAUGGGCGCAAGCCUGAUGCAGCAACGCCGCGUGCGGGAUGACGGCCUUCGGGUUGUAAACCGCUUUCAGCAGGGACGAAGCUUUUUGUGACGGUACCUGCAGAAGAAGCACCGGCUAACUACGUG
rnacentral:rRNA from 1 species